UACGGAGGGUGCAAGCGUUGUUCGGAAUCACUGGGCGUAAAGCGCGUGUAGGCGGCUUCUUAAGUCUGAUGUGAAAGCCCGGGGCUUACCCCCGGAAGUGCAUUGGAAACUGGGAAGCUGGAGUACCGGAGAGGAAGGUGGAAUUCCUGGUGUAGCGGUGAAAUGCGCAGAUAUCAGGAAGAACACCAAUGGCGAAAGCAGCUUUCUGGGACGGUACUGACGCCGAGACGCGAAAGCGUGGGGAGCGAACAGG
rnacentral:rRNA from 1 species